rnacentral:lncRNA from 1 species
UUCCUUCAAGCUGAGGACAGCUAAAAUAUCAUACCGUAUAUUAGAGUACCAUUUAGAUAGCUAACUCGAGAGCAUUAUUUUUCCUUCAUGGGAGGAACAAGGGAGAGUUGUCUAAGAUCGGAUCAACAGAAGCAUGAACAGUCAACCGUAAAACCAAUGAUUAAACUGGUUGUGGCACGAUAAAGAAGCAUGGACCAACGGAAUCGAUUAAACUAGUACUGACGAAGUGACACAACGGCAGCACGAAACGCCCUGGGAUUUUCAGAUCAUCAGGCGGGGCCA